AGCGCAGGCGGUUUCUUAAGUCUGAUGUGAAAGCCUUCGGCUCAACCGAAGAAGUGCAUCGGAAACUGGCAGACUUGAGUGCAGGAGAGGAGAGUGGAAUUCCAUGUGUAGCGGUGAAAUGCGUAGAUAUAUGGAGGAACACCGGUGGCGAAAGCGGCUCUCUGGCCUGUAACUGACACUGAGGCUCGAAAGCGUGGGGAGCAAACA
rnacentral:rRNA from 1 species